UGUUCAAUUUGGACAAGCUGUUUUCAUAACCAAACUAAUUUCUUUGGUCAUUAUUUAAUUUUCCAACUUUUUGCGUUUACAACUUACAAGAUUUGCUAUUUUAUUAGAGUAUUUGGGCAAAGGAGUCACAACUUCACCUAGCCCGGAAAGAGCUGCAAAAAUUAAAGGAAUAACUAAAGAAUGCAGAAACUACGAAGGCUCAAGUCUUGGUGGAGCUUGAAAAGGCUAAGAGAGUGGUUGAGGAUCUCUCACAAAGGCUUGAAGCUCUCACCAAAUCAAGAGAAUCAGCAAUACAAUCAACAGAUGUUUCAAAAAGUCGGGCAAAACAGCUUAAAGAAGAAAAAUGUGGUGAUCUUGAUGGAACCAAUGGUUCUUGGAAAGAAGAGUUAGAAACUGCAGUUAAAAGUUAUGCCUAUGUCGUUACAGAACUUGAUGUUGCAAAGCAAGAACUGAGUAAAAUUCGGCAGGGGUAUGAUUUAUCCUUAGAAGCAAGAGUUUCUGCUUUCAAGCAAGCAGCAGAAGCGGAAGAUGCAAUGAAGGCCAACAACAAAAGAGCAUCCGAACUAUCUAAAGAAAUUUUGGCUGUAAUGGAAUCAAUCGAUCAAGUUAANGCUCAAUCUGUCCAAGCANAUUUGNUGCAAGAAGAGACACAAGCCAAGCAAAAUGUUCUAAGACAAUCAUAUGAGGCUGCCCUUGAAGAAUCCAAAAGGAAUUUGCUUGAUUUAAAGAAGGAAUUUAAUCCAGGGCUUACCAAAAAUCUAGAGUUGCAGCUGAUUGAGACAAUGAAUGAGAUAAGCGUUCAGCAAGAACAAUUGGAAAAUAGAAAGAAAUCAGACUUGGAUUCUUUGAGGAGUGUCACUCUGGAUCUUGAUGAUGCUAAGGAAUCACUGCAGAAAGUAGCAGGACAGGAAGAGUCCCUUAGAGCCAUGGUGGAAGCUCUAAGGAUGGAUCUGGAGAAUGUAAAAGGAGAACACACUGCAUUGAAACAGAAAGAAUUCAAAACUGUUUCCUUUAUUGAGAAUCUGCGGGUAGAGCUCCAGAAAAGUGAGUCUGAACUUGAGUCCCACUUGGCAGAAGAAUCUAAAGCUAGAGGUGCAUCAGGAGAAAUGAUCUGGAAAUUGAACCAGUUGUUGACAGAAACUGAAAAUGCAAGGAGGGAAACACAAGAUAGGAAGAAUGAGGCUGCACAAUUGAAGAUGGAAGUUGUAGUCACUAAACUUGUUUUAGAAGAUGCCGAAAUAAAGCUCAAAGCAGCAUUGAAAGAAGUAGAAGUAGCAAAAACAACUUGUGUAAAAGUGUUGUUCUUAUUAUAUAAAUUUGUACUAUGAUUGAUUAUUAUGCAGUUUAUACAAUUAUUAUUUGCGAGUAGGCAAAUUAGAUAGAUAAAAAAUUCAAAGCCAACUAAGUAUCAAAAAUUAACAUAAACGAAAUAAGGCAUCCACAUCUGAUGGCUAACUCUAACUUGCAGAUAAACACACUUCUAAAUAGUCAACAUAAGAUAGAUGAUAAGGAAGAAGCUUUAAAAAGUUCUAUUAAGAAACAUGGACAGUGUCACACAGCUCUUUUAGCAUGAUUUGAACCAUCUAUACCACAUAAAAUAGUCCAAUAUAUCCAUAAAUCAAUUAUCAUAGACAGAUAUAUUAUCACAACAAACUCUGAUAAAGAAAGUACUCUUCUGAUAUCACUUCUCCUGACUUCAUGCAGAGUGUGUAAAUUUGUAUGUAAUUG
rnacentral:lncRNA from 1 species